rnacentral:rRNA from 2 species
CAGCAGCCGCGGUAAAACCAGCACCUCAAGUGGUCAGGAUGAUUAUUGGGCCUAAAGCAUCCGUAGCCUGCUUUGCCAGUUUUCGGUUAAAUCCAUACGCUCAACGUAUGGGCUGCCGGGAAUACUACAAAGCUAGGGGGUGGGAGAGGUAGACGGUACUCGGUAGGAAGGGGUAAAAUCCUUUGAUCUAUUGAUGACCACCUGUGGCGAAGGCGGUCUACCAGAACACGUCCGACGGUGAGGGAUGAAAGCUGGGGGAGCAAACCGGAUUAGAUACCCGGGUAGUCCCAGCUGUAAACUAUGCAAACUCAGUGAUGCAUUGGCUUGAUGCCAAUGCAGUGCUGCAGGGAAGCCGUUAAGUUUGCCGCCUGGGAAGUACGUACGCAAGUAUGAAACUUAAAGGAAUUGGCGGGGGAGCAC